rnacentral:rRNA from 1 species
AACGGCUGGCGGCAUGCCUAACACAUGCAAGUCGAACGGAAUAAGUUGGUGUAGCGAUACUUCGGACUAUUAGUGGCGAACGGGUGAGUAACACGUGAGCAACCUGCCUUCUACACAGGGAUAACAGCCGGAAACGGCUGCUAAUACCGGAUAAGACCACACUGAGGCAUCUCAGAGGGGUCAAAGCGAAUUAGCGGUAGAAGAUGGGCUCGCGUCCCAUUAGCUAGUUGGUGAGAUAACAGCCCACCAAGGCGACGAUGGGUAGCCGACUUGAGAGAGUGAUCGGCCACAUUGGAACUGAGACACGGUCCAGACUCCUUCGGGAGGCAGCAGUGGGGAAUAUUGGGCAAUGGAGGAAACUCUUACCCAGACAAUGCCGCGUGAAUAGAAGAAGGCCUUCGGGUCGUAAAGUUCUUUUAUUGAUGAUAAAGAAAGUGAUAUUAGUCAAUGAAUAAGCCCCGGCUAACUACGUGCCAGCAGCUGC